rnacentral:rRNA from 1 species
UACAGAGGGUGCAAGCGUUAAUCGGAGUUACUGGGCGUAAAGGGCGCGUAGGCGGUCAUGCAAGUGAGAUGUGAAAUCCCCGGGCUUAACCUGGGAACUGCAUUUUAGACUGUGUGACUGGAGUACUGUAGAGGACAGUGGAAUUUCCGGUGUAGCGGUGAAAUGCGUAGAUAUCUGGAGGAACACCGGUGGCGAAGGCGGCAUCCUGGACCAAUUCUGACGCUGAGGAGCGAAAGCCAGGGGAGCAAACGGG